GGAGUCCAGGCAAAAAUGUGUGACAGGGUCUCAGUUCCUCACUGUGUCCCCUGAAAUGAUAGUGCAUUAAGGACUGAGAGUGAAGCUAAAGUUGUAUUGGAGACACCAAGAAGUUAGGGAUACCAGAAAUGUGGAAUAUCUGCUGAGUAAAGCUGCACGUAUUGUGCAGAUCCAUUCCAAGAGAGAGGGCAUGUAGGCUGCAACCAGGAAAGUGGUACCAGGAAGUAUUAGAAAUCCAAGGCAUUGCUGCCUGGUGUGUGAAGAUAAGGUACAUGAGCUCCAGUGUCUGGAAGUACAGUACCUUUACACUACUUGGGGUCAUCCUUAUUUCUCUGAUGCUGCACUUCUGGAGAAUCCCACUUCAAAGAACAGGAGCUGGAACAAGACCCCUGGGCAUUUAAAGGCAGAGCAAAAACCAAGAGAAUAUUAAAUGCUAAUCUGGAAGGGCACUGAAGACAGUUGCCCCAGAUUGGAUGUGCUUCCUGGAAUCUGGAGAAGGAUUAAGA